CUUGAUUUUAUAAAAAAAAAAAAAAAAAGGGAAUUGUUCUUUCGAAAAAACAACUUAAACUCUAUAAGAUAUUUCCCUAUCGUAUAUUCUUUUGUCUCUGCACCCCCUUUUGCAGUAAUUUACAUACAGUAACUUUAGCGAACACACAACAGUAUCAUCCUUCUCCUCCUGGUGUUGUUCAUAGCAAAUAAAAAAAUAUAAAAAAAUAAACAAAUACAAUCCAUAAAUAAAAAAAUAACAACGUAACAAAACCUUCUGAUCUGGCACCUAGGUAACUAAAUA
rnacentral:lncRNA from 1 species